UACAGAGGUGGCAAGCGUUGUUCGGAUUUACUGGGCGUAAAGGGUGCGUAGGCGGUCUUGUGUGUCGGAUGUGAAAUCCCACGGAUCAUCCGUGGAACUGCAUUCGAAACUGCAGGGCUGGAGUACAGGAGAGGAAGGUGGAAUUCUCGGUGUAGCGGUGAAAUGCGUUGAUAUCGAGAGGAACGCCGGAGGCGAAGGCGACCUUCUGGACUGUAACUGACGCUGAGGCACGAAAGCUAGGGGAGCAAACAGG
rnacentral:rRNA from 1 species